CAAGCGGUGGAUGAUGUGGAUUAAUUCGAUGCAACGCGAAAAACCUUACCUACCCUUGACAUGGCAAAAAUCCCGGAGAGAUUUGGGAGUGCUCGAGAGAGAAUCUGCACACAGGUGCUGCAUGGCUGUCGUCAGCUCGUGUCGUGAGAUGUUGGGUUAAGUCCCGCAACGAGCGCAACCCUUGUCAUUAGUUGCUACGAAAGAGCACUCUAAUGAGACUGCCGGUGACAAACCGGAGGAAGGUGGGGAUGACGUCAAGUCCUCAUGGCCCUUAUGGGUAGGGCUUCACACGUCAUACAAUGGUACAUACAGAGGGCCGCCAACCCGCGAGGGGGAGCUAAUCCCAAAAAGUGUAUCGUAGUCCGGAUUGUAGUCUGCAACUCGACUGCAUGAAGUUGGAAUCGCUAGUAAUCGCGGAUCAGCAUGUCGCGGUGAAUACGUUCCCGGGUCUUGUACACACC
rnacentral:rRNA from 1 species